CCUACGGGGGGCAGCAGUGGGGAAUAUUGGACAAUGGGGGCAACCCUGAUCCAGCCAUGCCGCGUGUGUGAAGAAGGCCCUCGGGUUGUAAAGCACUUUCAGUGAGGAAGAACGCCUGGUGGUUAAUACCCAUCAGGAAAGACAUCACUCACAGAAGAAGCACCGGCUAACUCCGUGCCAGCAGCCGCGGUAAUACGGAGGGUGCGAGCGUUAAUCGGAAUUACUGGGCGUAAAGCGCGCGUAGGUGGCUUGAUAAGCCGGUUGUGAAAGCCCCGGGCUCAACCUGGGAACGGCAUCCGGAACUGUCAAGCUAGAGUGCAGGAGAGGAAGGUAGAAUUCCCGGUGUAGCGGUGAAUGCGUAGAGAUCGGGAGGAAUACCAGUGGCGAAGGCGGCCUUCUGGACUGACACUGACACUGAGGUGCGAAAGCGUGGGUAGCAAACAGGAUUAGAUACCCUGGUAGUC
rnacentral:rRNA from 1 species